GUGGGGAAUCUUCCACAAUGGACGAAAGUCUGAUGGAGCAACGCCGCGUGAGUGAAGAAGGGUUUCGGCUCGUAAAGCUCUGUUGUCGGGGACGAAUGUGCAGUAUUUGAAUAAAGUACUGCAAUGACGGUACCUGACGAGGAAGCCACGGCUAACUACGUGCCAGCAGCCGCGGUAAUACGUAGGUGGCAAGCGUUGUCCGGAAUUAUUGGGCGUAAAGGGAGCGCAGGCGGGAAGGUAAGUCGGUCUUAAAAGUGCGGGGCUCAACCCCGUGAUGGGAUCGAAACUAUCUUUCUUGAGUGCAGGAGAGGAAAGUGGAAUUCCUAGUGUAGCGGUGAAAUGCGUAGAUAUUAGGAGGAACACCAGUGGCGAAGGCGACUUUCUGGACUGUAACUGACGCUGAGGCUCGAAAGCCAGGGGAGCGAACGGGAUUAGAUACCCGUGUAGUCC
rnacentral:rRNA from 1 species